CGCUAUCACUCCUACGGGAGGCAGCAGGUAGGGAAUCUUACCACAAUGGGCGCAAGCCUGAUGGAGCAACACCGCGUGAGUGAAGAAGGGUUUCGGCUCGUAAAGCUCUGUUGUUAAAGAAGAACACGUAUGAGAGUAACUGUUCAUACGUUGACGGUAUUUAACCAGAAAGUCACGGCUAACUACGUGCCAGCAGCCGCGGUAAUACGUAGGUGGCAAGCGUUAUCCGGAUUUAUUGGGCGUAAAGAGAGUGCAGGCGGUUUUCUAAGUCUGAUGUGAAAGCCUUCGGCUUAACCGGAGAAGUGCAUCGGAAACUGGAUAACUUGAGUGCAGAAGAGGGUAGUGGAACUCCAUGCGUAGCGGUGGAAUGCGUAGAUAUAUGGAAGAACACCAGUGGCGAAGGCGGCUACCUGGUCUGCAACUGACGCUGAGACUCGAAAGCAUGGGUAGCGAACAGGAUUAGAUACCCUGGUAG
rnacentral:rRNA from 1 species